rnacentral:misc_RNA from 1 species
AAGUCGUAACAAGGUAACCGUAGGUGAACCUGCGGUUGGAUCAUUACAAAAAAUCUUACCACUUUGGGGGUAUUCUUGUUGCGGGGUUUGAUUUGUCCUUUCGGGGAUGUGUCGGCUCCUCUUCAAGGCUCCUAAAACCUUGUGUGCACUCUGUCACUGUUUUUUGGGACGAGGUUCCUUGUCCCAAAUCUUCUCUUUUACACCUUGGUGUUUUAUGAGAGGAACUACAAAGACACCUAUCUAUUCUUUUAACUAUCCAACAACCUUUUCUUGCCAGCUUUAGAGCUGAAGAGAAAAAACAAAAAAAAACAACUUUUGACAACGGAUCUCUUGGCUCUC